UUCCAGUCUCUUUUAUAUUUUCCCCUGACUUUUCCCGGUUUUCCCAGUUUUCCAGGUCUGUGGCAACCUUGUUAAUAAACAUCAAGUU